rnacentral:rRNA from 1 species
UACGGGGGGGGCAAGCGUUGUUCGGAAUUACUGGGCGUAAAGGGCUCGUAGGCGGCCAACUAAGUCAGACGUGAAAUCCCUCGGCUUAACCGGGGAACUGCGUCUGAUACUGGAUGGCUUGAGUUUGGGAGAGGGAUGCGGAAUUCCAGGUGUAGCGGUGAAAUGCGUAGAGAUCGGGAGGAACACCAGAGGCGAAGGCGGCGGCCUGGACAGUAACUGACACUCAACUACGAAAGCGUGGGGAGCAAACAGG